CCUACGGGAGGCAGCAGUGAGGAAUAUUGGUCAAUGGGCGCGAGCCUGAACCAGCCAAGUCGCGUGAGGGAAGACGGUCCUAUGGAUUGUAAACCUCUUUUGUCGGGGAGCAAAAGACGCCACGCGUGGCGUUCCGAGAGUACCCGAAGAAAAAACAUCGGCUAACUCCGUGCCAGCAGCCGCGGUAAUACGGAGGAUGCGAGCGUUAUCCGGAUGUAUUGGGUUUAAAGGGUGCGCAGGCGGACGAUCAAGUCAGCGGUAAAAUUGAGAGGCUCAACCUCUUCGAGCCGUUGAAACUGGUUUUCUUGAGUGAGCGAGAAGUAUGCGGAAUGCGUGGUGUAGCGGUGAAAUGCAUAGAUAUCACGCAGAACUCAGAUUGCGAAGGCAGCAUACCGGCGCUCAACUGACGCUCAUGCACGAAAGUGUGGGUAUCGAACAGGAUUAGAUACCCUGGUAGUC
rnacentral:rRNA from 1 species